CACGUAGGGGGCAAGCGUUGUCCGGAUUUAUUGGGCGUAAAGAGCUCGUAGGCGGUUCGGUAAGUCGGGUGUGAAACCUCCAGGCUCAACCUGGAGCCGCCACCCGAUACUGCUGUGACUAGAGUCCGGUAGGGGAGCGUGGAAUUCCUGGUGUAGCGGUGAAAUGCGCAGAUAUCAGGAGGAACACCGGUGGCGAAGGCGGUGGUCUGGGCCGGCACUGACGCUGAGGAGCGAAAGCGUGGGGAGCAAACAGG
rnacentral:rRNA from 1 species